UCUCUCUUUCUCUCUUUCUCUCGCGAUCAAAGUCUCGAUGGAAGGUCUGCUUUAAUCGGAGGUUAUAAAAUCAGUGGAGUGUUGGGUCAGAGGCGAUUUGACUCGGCGGAGAUCUUAUCGGAGGCGACUGUAGCAGAGGCGAUUUGAAUCGUCGUGGAAAUUGUAUCAGAGGCGAUUUGAAGGAGAAGGCGAUUCAAUCAGAAGAGAUUGGAUCAAUUCGAUUGAGAGGGUGGUAUGCUUAAGUUUGAGCUCCUCUGAUGCACAUGGCUGGACAUGUGGUUUAAUUAUUCAGGCUUGCGUUCCUCUUUCCCUUUAGUAAUCUGAUGCUUUCCCCUUUAGUAACCUGAUGCACAACGCCAUGUCUCUUCCCCCUCUUUUUUCUCUGAAUUUUUCAUGCUCCAUAUAUUUCUAGUGUUUGAUCUUAUAAUUAUGUUCAUGUAAUUUUUGCCUCUUGGAUCUGUUAUUUUAGAUUGUGGAGGAUGCUUUGCUUUGUGGGUGAUGGUUCUGAUGGAUCGUUGUCUUCUCUGAGCUACAUCUUCAGACCAUCGAGAUUAAUGUGUGUGAGGGUUGGAAGAGAAGAAAGAAACAUUGUGAAAGUGAAUGGUUUGCGUAUGAAGCUAGAACCAUACAAGGAGAUUGGGUGUGCUGCUUUGUUUGACAUUAUAGCUCAGGUUACAGUUUCAAACACUUGUCUUACCAGUUUAGUUCUGUAAUUGUAGAUUUACUCAGAUUUUUGUGUUUUUUUUCUUUAGGAUGCAAGCUUUUUGUAAUUACAGUUUAAUCAUUUAUACUACUUCUAAUCUAUUUAAACU